rnacentral:rRNA from 1 species
UACGUAGGGUGCGAGCGUUAAUCGGAAUUACUGGGCGUAAAGCGUGCGCAGGCGGUUUUGUAAGCCAGAUGUGAAAUCCCCCGGGCUCAACCUGGGAAUGGGCAUUUGGGACUGCAAGGCUGGAGUGCGGCAGAGGAGACUGGAAUUCCUGGUGUAGCAGUGAAAUGCGUAGAUAUCAGGAGGAAUACCGAUGGCGAAGGCAGGUCUCUGGGCUGACACUGACGCUCAUGCACGAAAGCGUGGGGAGCAAACAGG